AAAUCUAACAGCUUAACUGUUAAACUGCUUGAGAAACUGAUAAUCUAGAGUGAGGGAGAGGCAGAUGGAAUUGGUGGUGUAGGGGUAAAAUCCGUAGAGAUCACCAGGAAUACCCAUUGCGAAGGCGAUCUGCUGGAACUCAACUGACGCUAAUGCGUGAAAGCGUGGGGAGCAAACAGGAUUAGAUACCCUGGUAGUCCACGCCCUAAACGAUGUAUACUAGUUGUUGCUGUGCUAGUCACGGCAGUAAUGCACCUAACGGAUUAAGUAUACCGCCUGGGGAGUACGGUCGCAAGAUUAAAACUCAAAGGAAUAGACGGGGACCCGCACAAGCGGUGGAGCAUGUGGUUUAAUUCGAAGAUACGCGAAGAACCUUACCUGGGCUUGAUAUCCAACUAAUCUCUUAGAGAUAAGAGAGUGCUAGCUUGCUAGAAAGUUGAGACAGGUGCUGCACGGCUGUCGUCAGCUCGUGUCGUGAGAUGUUGGGUUAAGUCCCGCAACGAGCGCAACCCACGUAUUUAGUUGCUAACAGUUUGGCUGAGCACUCUAAAUAGACUGCCUUCGUAAGGAGGAGGAAGGUGUGGACGACGUCAAGUCAUCAUGGCCCUUAUGCCCAGGGCGACACACGUGCUACAAUGGCAUAUACAAUGAGAUGCAAUAUCGCGAGAUGGAGCAAAUCUAUAAAAUAUGUCUCAGUUCGGAUUGCUCUCUGCAACUCGAGAGCAUGAAGCCGGAAUCGCUAGUAAUCGUAGAUCAGCCAUGCUACGGUGAAUACGUUCCCGGGUCUUGUACUCACCGCCCGUCACACCAUGGGAGUUGAUUUCACUCGAAGUCGGAAUGCUAAAUUAGCUACCGCCCACAGUGGAAUCAGCGACUGGGGUGAAGUCGUAACAAGGUAACCGUAGGAGAACCUGCGGUUGGAUCACCUCCUUUCUAGA
rnacentral:rRNA from 1 species